CUCCCCUGAAUUUCUUGUUCCCCAAUAAAAGGCUACUCCCAGGCGUGUUCACUCUCUCUCUCUCCUGCUAGCCCUGAGUAAUCCUUGCUGCCCUGCUGGGUGGUUAGAGGAGGGAACCAGAGAGGGGAGCCAUCUUGGACCUGGCAAUAGAAAUAAGGUAACUGAGUCUGUGUGUUUUAUUUCGAUCUCUUCUAGCUAACUUUUAUGCCAAGAACCUCAUUAAUGAAACCAUUGCGCAGGCCGUAUGGUGGAUACAUGCAUUCAUGGAAAGUCAAGUAAGUAAAAGAUUAGGAAAGACACACAGUGGUAGUUGGAAUCUGGGCAUAAUUAAGACUAUUGCUUUCUAUUGUUGUUGAUCUGGAGAAUGAACCCAGAGGUGCUUAUCCACUGAGCCUCGUCCCCACCCCAUUUUAAGUUUCAUUUUGAGACAGGGUCUUGCUGAGUUGAUGAGGCUGGUCUCAAACUUGGGAUCCUCCUGCCCCAGCCUACGGAGUCAUUGGGAUUACCGGUGUGCUUGACCACGCCCGGCUAAGACUAUCACAUCAUAAGUUCUGAUUUUUGUUUUGCUGCUCAAAAUCUGAAGCCAAGAUGCAGAGCAAAUUAAAUGGCCACAAAAUGUAUUUUGCAAUGAACAAAGAGCAAAGGUUCCCUUAAAUUUAGCAUUCUGAUUCCAUUAAAAUUUUUUAUUCCAGCACAUAGAACAUGCUGUGAAAAAGAAAUCACAGAAUGACAUAAAACAACCUCUCUGUCAUCUGGGAGUCUAUAUAUAGAGUCAUUUCUAAAUGUUUCUGCACCACUGGGACUGUGGGAAAGAUUUUCCUUUUCAUUAUGCAACAUUAUGAACAAGAACCAAAAAUUUAAGACAGCUAGUUUUAAUAUUUUUUUGUUAACACCAUAUUGUUGAAUGGUAUAAUGCCAACAGCAAGCCAGAAUGGGUGAAAAAAACUGUUGUCCAUAUGCUACAGGAUGAAUAAUAAUUUCAUGAGUGGAAACAAGGAAGGAGUAAGCCUAAAAGAUAUGAAAUCUAUGAAAUACAGUGUCUCUGGAUGGCUCAGUGAUUAAAGGGGACAAAACUAACGCUGGCUGUCUGGCCCCACUCCCUUUCUAGCUGCUAGCCCCAUGGCAGGACAUCUAGAGUUCCAGCAUCCUGAGAAAGGCUCCAUCAAGAACCGUCUGGGGGCUGGGGAUGUGGCUCAAGCGGUGCGCGCUCGCCUGGCAUGCGUGCGACCAGGGUUCGAUCCUCAGCACCACAUACAAAGAUGUUGUGUCCACCGAAAACUAAAAAAUAAAUAUUAAAAAAAUAUAAAUAUUAAAAAAAAAAAAAAAAAAGAACCGUCUGGGCACAGGCAGAGAGACUUAUUAUAUGUUAACCCUCUUAUUAUAUGUUAACCCUCUUUCUGACUUUCCAUUUGUUGCCUUCAAUCUUCCCAACAAUUCUGGGGUGCCUCGAUUUUAGCCUUGGGGAAUCAAAUGCAACUUGCCUUGGCUACUUACAAUCAAGAUCUGGGUUUGAACCCAGCUCUGCCUCUUACUCAUUCUCUGACUUUCUCUGUUACAUCACUUUACCUCCCCAGGGUGGCUUUUCUCCCAGUGUGAUGCCCCAUCACUGGCAUCAGAAGGAUCUGGAAUGCUUUCUGAAUUCCAGCACACCCAGACCAACAGAGUCCAUCAGCCUGGCCAGGACCAGAAAUCUGCAAUUGACAAGUUCUCCAGGUGAUUUUUACUCACGCCCAAGUUUAAGUAUCAUCAUUUAAAAGGAAUCCAGAAGGAACACAGAUCCACAGAAGAUAGAGUAGCUGCCCUUCACACUUUUACGAAUGAGUUGGAGAGAGCAGCCCCCACAAAACAAAUGCAAAAAAAAAAAUUAUUUUGCAUCUUUGGUAGCGAAUUAUGAAAUCCCAGCCUGGCUUCCACCUGGUGCUCAGCG
rnacentral:lncRNA from 1 species